CCUACGGGAGGCAGCAGUGGGGGAUAUUGCACAAUGGGGGGAACCCUGAUGCAGCGACGCCGCGUGGGCGAUGGAGUACUUCGGUAUGUAAAGCCCUAUCAGCAGGGAAGAAAAUGACGGUACCUGACUAAGAAGCCCCGGCUAAAUACGUGCCAGCAGCCGCGGUAAUACGUAUGGGGCAAGCGUUAUCCGGAUUUACUGGGUGUAAAGGGAGCGUAGGCGGCUUUUCAAGUCAGGGGUGAAAUCCCACGGCCCAACCGUGGAACUGCCUUUGAAACUGUAGAGCUUGAGUGUCGGAGAGGGUG
rnacentral:rRNA from 1 species